ACAGUACUCCCUCCGUCCGAAAAUACUUGUCAUUAAAAUGGAUAAAAAGAGAUGUAUCUAGAACUAAAAUACGUCUAGAUACAUCCCCUUUUAUCCAUUUUGAUGACAAGUAUUUUCGGACGAAGGGAGUAGUAC
rnacentral:pre_miRNA from 1 species